rnacentral:sRNA from 1 species
UAAAUUAAUCAAAUACUUUUGUCAUCUUAAAAAUAUAGAAAUUGGUUCAAAUUAUUUAGGUUUUAGGGAAACUUUAUAGUUGGGAUUUGGAAACUUUGAUUGGAGAAAAAGUACCCAUUUAUAUCUCGGAACAAGGCCUUAUGACGUGUGAAUAAACGAGCAUGGUUACUACAAAAUCUGUAGAGGACCUCAUAAUAUGUGUGGUAUGGAUACAAUGGUAUCUACUAUUGUUGUUGUUCAUACCUCACCUAAGUAGAAUUAUUAGGAUACUACAUGUCUGUCCUUGUGUAUAUGUAUAUAUAGUUGCAUAAAGAUACUACAAACUUUUAUCGUUAGUAUUGUGUGUCUAUGUUUCAGCUUUUAAUGUAAAAUAGCCGAGCUCCUUUCUUACUUUUACUCCAUGUCCUUAUUACUUCGCUAUUAAUUUUGUUGCUCUCAUUAUUAUUACUAACUUAAAAUCUCAU